rnacentral:rRNA from 1 species
AUGAAGCCGGAAUUGCUAGUAAUGGCAGGUCAGCAUACUGCCGUGAAUACGUUCCCGGGCCUUGUACACACCGCCCGUCACACCAUGAGGGUUGGGGGAUACCCGAAGCCUGUGAGCUAACUUUUAGAGGCAGCAGUCGAAGGUAGAAUCAAUGAUUGGGGUGAAGUCGUAACAAGGUACC